rnacentral:rRNA from 1 species
AUUGAACGCUGGCGGAAUGCUUUACACAUGCAAGUCGAACGGCAGCACGGGAGCUUGCUCCUGGUGGCGAGUGGCGAACGGGUGAGUAAUGCGUCGGAACGUACCGAGUAAUGGGGGAUAACGCAGCGAAAGCUGUGCUAAUACCGCAUACGCCCUGAGGGGGAAAGUGGGGGAUCGCAAGACCUCACGUUAUUCGAGCGGCCGACGUCUGAUUAGCUAGUUGGUGGGUAAAGGCCUACCAAGGCGACGAUCAGUAGCGGGUCUGAGAGGAUGAUCCGCCACACUGGAACUGAGACACGGUCCAGACUCCUACGGAGGCAGCAGUGGGGAAUUUUGGACAAUGGGGGCAACCCUGAUCCAGCCAUUCCGCGUGAGUGAAGAAAGGCCU